GAUGAACGCUGGCGGCGUGCUUAACACAUGCAAGUCGAACGAAGCAUUUGCGACAGAUUUUUUCGGAAUGAAGUUGCUUAUGACUGAGUGGCGGACGGGUGAGUAACGCGUGGGUAACCUGCCUUGUACUGGGGGAUAGCAGCUGGAAACGGCUGGUAAUACCGCAUAAGCGCACAAUGUUGCAUGACAUGGUGUGAAAAACUCCGGUGGUAUAAGAUGGACCCGCGUCUGAUUAGCUAGUUGGUGAGAUAACAGCUCACCAAGGCGACGAUCAGUAGCCGACCUGAGAGGGUGACCGGCCACAUUGGGACUGAGACACGGCCCAGACUCCUACGGGAGGCAGCAGUGGGGAAUAUUGCACAAUGGAGGAAACUCUGAUGCAGCGACGCCGCGUGAGUGAAGAAGUAAUUCGUUAUGUAAAGCUCUAUCAGCAGGGAAGAUAGUGACGGUACCUGACUAAGAAGCUCCGGCUAAAUACGUG
rnacentral:rRNA from 1 species